GAGUGAUGGUGCAGAACGGCAUAGGCAAAGAUGCAGUAGAUGGUAUAGAGUACAGUAUAUACAUAUGAGAUGAGUAAUGUAGGGUAUGUAAACAUAUAAAUGGCAUUAGACCAGUAUGAACUUUACCCUGGUUUAAGGUGGAAUCACUCCAAGGCCAUUAUGAACUUUACCCUGGUUUAAGGUGGAAUCACUCCAAGGCCAUUAUGAACUUUACCCUGGUUUAAGGUGGAAUCACUCCAAGGCCAUUAUGAACUUUACCCUGGUUUAAGGUGGAAUCACUCCAAGGCCAUUAUGAACUUUACCCUGGUUUAAGGUGGAAUCACUCCAAGGCCAUUAUGAACUUUACCCUGGUUUAAGGUGGAAUCACUCCAAGGCCAUUAUGAACUUUACCCUGGUUUCAUGUGGAAUCACUCCAACUAUACCACAAUGCAGCAUGUUUUAGUGAGACAGCCAAUGCUAAUUCUCUUGCUCUGAGUUCCAAAUAGCUCCCUAUUCCCUAAAGAAUAUAUUUUGAUUCAACACU